GUCAGAAGCUUCGACUAAGGUUCGACUCGAGCGAAGCGAGAGAACGUUGCCGCAGGCAACGGCCCGAAGGGCGAGGCGCUUUAGCGCCGAGUAAUCCUUCCCCCACCACCA
rnacentral:sRNA from 1 species